AUACAACUUUUGACAACGGAUCUCUUGGUUCUCCCAUCGAUGAAGAACGCAGCGAAACGCGAUAGGUAAUGUGAAUUGCAGAAUUCAGUGAAUCAUCGAAUCUUUGAACGCAUCUUGCGCUCCUUGGUAUUCCUCGGAGCAUGCCUGUUUGAGU
rnacentral:rRNA from 1 species